rnacentral:rRNA from 1 species
GUGGAUUAGAUACCCUGGUAGUCCUAGCAGUAAACGAUGGGCACUAGGUGUGGGGGGUCAUCAACUCCCUCCGUGUCGCAGCUAACGCAUUAAGUGCCCCGCCUGGGGAGUACGAUCGCAAGAUUAAAACUCAAAGGAAUUGACGGGGGCCCGCACAAGCAGCGGAGCAUGUGGCUUAAUUCGACGCAACGCGAAGAACCUUACCAAGGCUUGACAUGCAGGGAAAAGCGGCGGAAACGUCGUGUCCGCAAGGGCCCUGCACAGGUGGUGCACGGCUGUCGUCAGCU